rnacentral:rRNA from 1 species
ACGGAGGAUUCAAGCGUUAUCCGGAUUUAUUGGGUUUAAAGGGUGCGUAGGCGGUUUGAUAAGUUAGAGGUGAAAUUUCGGGGCUCAACCCUGAACGUGCCUCUAAUACUGUUGAGCUAGAGAGUAGUUGCGGUAGGCGGAAUGUAUGGUGUAGCGGUGAAAUGCUUAGAGAUCAUACAGAACACCGAUUGCGAAGGCAGCUUACCAAACUAUAUCUGACGUUGAGGCACGAAAGCGUGGGGAGCAAACAGGAUUAGAUACCCUUGU